rnacentral:lncRNA from 1 species
AUGUUAAGCAUGUGUUCGUGCUGUUGUGUUACAGGUAGUCAACAGUCUGGACUGGUUUGGGUCCAAGUUGUGGUAAAGCUCCUGGGAAUCGUAACGCUCAUCAGUGUGUCAGUCAUCUUUGAGUGCUGGUUUCGAUUAAGACGCUCCACCAAACCACCGAAGGAGGCCGUAGAAGCAGACUAUGUAAACACAGUGUGUCAGCCAUCAUCAGGAAACAGACGGUGAAGAUGAAGAUGUGAUUAUGUCUCCCUCUUUGGCUGUACUUGUUUGUGUGCAGCCUGUGAUAAUGUGUUGAUGUUCUCCAGGUCAUUAUUACUAAAUAGUAAAUCAUUUAAACAUGACUACAGACUUGGGUGUAUAAUCAUUUUAUAAUGUGUUUUUUUCUACCAUGUGUUUCUUUGUUGAAGUAAAGAAAUUAUCUUAAAGAAUGUUUCUUAUGUUGAAAUCAUUUAUGGCAUCGACGUUUUAUUUUGUUCUCAAAGUCUAAUAUUGGUUAUUUUUCAACCUGGACCAUAUUUUCCUGUUUUUGGUAAGUCGCUGCUGCCUGGACAUUUAAUCUUUUUUUUCAUAAUUUCAGAGGAAAACAACAUGGUUGCAAUUUUCAAUACAUGUUCCUCAAGGGUCCAUAGGGGGGAUUUGAAAAUGUAUUUUGAUACCACAGAUUUUAUUGGAGAUGUGAAAUAUUAAAGCAACAUUAUGUAGAAAUCGGUAGCACCCAUUAGCUCAGUUGGUAGAGUGGGCGUCCCAUGUAGAGAGGUUUUGUCCUCGCUGCAGCAGCCCGGGGUUUGAGUCUGACCUGUGGCCCCUUCCUUCUUGUCACCCCCCUAUCCUGUUGCCUGUCAUCCCUCAAUUGUCAUUUCAAAAAAGCCAAGGCGCAUUUGCUCAGAGGGAUUACAUUACAGCAGCCUCGCUCCAUACUGGACCAGUUUCAGAAGUUGUUGUUAUCACCAGUCACUUACACAAAAAUCUGAGAAAAUGGCACCCAGGUUUGGAAAAUACUUAAGAUGCUUAUUCCAUGUCAUUAUUUUGCAUUGGAUGUAUG